rnacentral:rRNA from 1 species
CGAGGUGGAGCGAAUCUCCAAAAAUUAGUCCCAGUUCAGAUUGCAGGCUGCAACUCGCCUGCAUGAAGUCGGAAUUGCUAGUAAUCGUGGAUCAGCAUGCCACGGUGAAUACGUUCCCGGGCCUUGUACACACCGCCCGUCACACCAUGGGAGUCGGUAACACCCGAAGCCUGUAGUCUAACCGCAAGGAGGACGCAGUCGAAGGUGGGAUUGAUGACUGGGGUGAAGUCGUAACAAGGUAGC